AGAAAUAAAGACCCAAAAAAGAAAAAGAAAAAAUCAGUUCGAGAAAAAUUCGUGCUCGGCGUCGCAGUAUUUUUACCGGCGCAGGCAGGCAGGGAGGAGGAGGGAGCAUGGAAUCGGAGUUCCAGGCGCCGAAAUCGUUCACCUUCUUCCUCCGAUCGCUGCUGGUCUCCGUCGAGCGGAAGCUAGGGUUCCGGUCGUCCGCCCCGAAGAUGGCGAGGUCCUCGAGGCACGCCCCCCGGUCGCACGGCAAGCGAUCCACGCUCGCGCUCGUCCUCGGGAUGCUCCUCGCGCUGUCCGUCGUCCUCCUCCUCCUCCUGGCCCUCGGCAUUGUGUCCCUCCCGAUCGGCGACGGCGAUCCCCCGGCGAGCGGCUGGAGCCCCUUCAGGCGCCAGGCUUUCGAGAGAGGGGAUGGAUUGGGGCAGAGAGGGGAGCAGUGGACUGAAGUGCUGUCGUGGGAGCCCAGAGCUUUCAUAUAUCAUGGUUUCCUGUCCAAAGAGGAAUGUGAAUAUCUGAUAAAUCUCGCUAAACCUCAUAUGGCGAAGUCAACUGUGGUUGAUAGUGCAACUGGAAAGAGUAAAGACAGCAGGGUCCGCACAAGUUCUGGAACAUUUCUGCUGAGGGGACGAGAUAAAAUCAUCAGGGACAUAGAAAAAAGAAUAGCAGAUUUCACCUUCAUUCCUGUAGAGCAUGGAGAAGGUCUUCAAAUUCUCCACUAUGAAGUUGGACAAAAGUACGAUGCUCAUUAUGAUUACUUCCUUGAUGAGUUUAACACCAAGAAUGGCGGUCAACGAAUAGCUACGCUACUGAUGUAUCUGUCGGAUGUUGAAGAAGGGGGUGAGACAGUUUUUCCUGCUGCCAAAGGAAAUUUCAGUGCGGUUCCUUGGUGGGAUCAAUUAUCUGAAUGUGGUAAGCAGGGUUUGUCUGUGAAGCCAAGGAUGGGCGAUGCAUUACUGUUUUGGAGCAUGAGGCCUGACGCCACACUCGAUCCUUCAAGUUUACAUGGUGGUUGCCCUGUGGUUAUUGGAAACAAGUGGUCAUCUACAAAGUGGAUGCAUCUGCGUGAGUAUAAGGUCUAAGUCGCCGCGUACUUAGGUACCUUUCGAUGCCGAAACUAGUUUCUCAUACUCGGUUAUCCCAGAAUGCCAUGCUUUUGCCAAUCUCAUGGUACAGAGAUAUUGUGAUUAUCUGAAUUACUUGAAGCAUGCAAAAUGCACAUAAUGUUCUACUUCACCCAAGUGAUAUGAAUAGGAAGACAGAGCAUGUUAUGGGAAAUAUUGUUGUCCUGCUAGAGUACAGAUGCUGUACCCAAUGACCACUUACCAUGCUGACUAAACGCCUUGUUAUACCCAUAUUCGAUAAGCUUCUUUGUUAUUCUAACCACCGUAUCUCAUGAGAAAUUGGUUUUUCCAUCUUUUAGAAGAGUGAACUCUUGUACUAUAAAGUCCGCCGGAAAUGUGCAUAGAUAGCUGGAGAAUUGGAAUUUUGAUUGAUCUGAUGAUAACGUAGUGAAAUAAGACAAAAAUACGAUGGCCAA